CAGUAGCCGCGGUAAUACGAAGGGUGCAAGCGUUAAUCGGAAUUACUGGGCGUAAAGCGUGCGUAGGCGGUGAGUUAAGUCUGCUGUGAAAUCCCCGGGCUCAACCUGGGAAUGGCAGUGGAUACUGGCUCGCUAGAGUGUGUCAGAGGAUGGAGGAAUUCCCGGUGUAGCGGUGAAAUGCGUAGAGAUCGGGAGGAACAUCAGUGGCGAAGGCGGCCAUCUGGGACAACACUGACGCUGAGGCACGAAAGCGUGGGGAGCAAACAGGAUUAGAUACCCGAGUAGUCCCUGUCUCUUAUAC
rnacentral:rRNA from 1 species